CCCUAUGGGGUGCACCAGGCUGGACCGAAACCGGUCCUCACCAGAGGCAAGGACAGCUUGUAUCUGUUUAUGCCGGUCACGAUUCAUGAGGAGGAAGCCAUUCGAGAGGACGGUGAGCCAAGUUGCGAUUGCGGCGAUGAAGAGGCUCACAAUGAGGAAGUGGAAUCCGAUUCAGACGACGAAGAUGAACUGGAGGAUCACGAAGGGGCCACUGAACCCGAUCCCUGGCCCAAACGCGCAGCCUGGCUCGAACGGGAGUUUGCCUGGCGCAUGAUCGAUUAUGCUGUCGACCUCGGUGUGAUGGAUCCAAGUGACAGCAUUACUGAAUGCGAAGACCGUCUCAACCAUGUCCGGCAGAUUCAAAAGGAUCUCGCCCAAGCAAGGAAAGAGGCUCACAUCAACGCUCCCAAAGAUCACCUGGCAUUACAGCCACCAGCAACUAAACCGAAGUGGGAGAGC
rnacentral:rRNA from 1 species